rnacentral:rRNA from 1 species
CCUUGAUUUUGGUUAAAGAUUAUGGAAAGCCCAAUAACGAUAAUAGCCCAAGCUCGUAAAAAAAUAAAAGCAACACCAAAUCAUGCUUAUCUGGAAUAUCCUCCAUCAAAAUAUCCUGAAGAUUCUUGACUUAAACACCUUGAUAUUGGUUAAAGAAUAUGGAAAGCCCAAUGUCCCUAAUAGUCCAGCCCAGACUCAUAAAAAUUAGAAUCUACACCAAAUAAUGCUUAUAUUGAAUAUCCUCGGCCAAAAUUCUCCUUGUCACGAGUAAAACGUUAUAAAUAAAGGAAGUUAAUUAUUCAUGAAUUUUUGUUAGCCUCCGUGGUUGAGGGUUUUUGCUUUAACAUAUCAGAUCCUGUGUUCGAACUCUAGGACUGCCACUAUUUUCUUAUAAUUUGUGAAAUUUUUACAUAUACACCCAAGCAUUGUAUACAUUAGUAAAUAUCCCCUCCAACGCAUCUUUUUACUAAUUUCCCUUCUAAAUUAUCUUUUCCAUUUAAGCUUAUGUCUCAAAUUGAACGAGUAUUUAAUACCAAGCAAAUCGAAUACACAUUUGGUUAAUUUCUAUUUGUUUAUGAAUUGAAUAACUAAUAGCUAGUCAUUUAUUGUUAAAUAAGAUAGCGAAUCAAAUAUGAUUGAAUAGCUGGAUGAAUAAUUACUAAACUGUUUAUUGAUUAUUUAGUUCACUUCCACCCCUACCUCUAGGCUCAUAAAACACAUCUACUAUUAUUGUUUAAGAUACAUAUAUUGCUAUUGUCAGAGAAAAGUUAUUCCUAGGUAUUCUACCCCGAUACUAAUGACCAUUUAAAAUUUGGAGAUGUACUACAAAAAUUGUACACAAGACUCCAAUUUUUACAACUUAAUAGAGAGACGUGUGGAAAAAAUAACAAACAACCUAAUUUACUCAUUUUUUAUAUGUUUCCAAAAUCUUUGUGACUCAAACUACAAGUAACAAAUGCUAUAAUAAUUAACAAUAUGUUUUUGUUAUACAUAAAUUUGUGAUGGAUUGUUAUACAUAAAAGAUAAAUAUCAAUAUGUUUUGUUAUACAUAAUCAUGCAGCUGAUGACAAAUGUAAUCAUUGGAUUGUUAUACAUAAGAUUGCGGUUGAUGGCAAAUAUUAAACAUUUUAAUUCGAAUUGACAAUAUCAUUGAAGUCACGUGUAACUUAUUUUCUCAUGAAUAAUGGAGAAAAACGUUGAUUAAGGUAUGUGACGAUAUGUUGUUCGAACUAAUUAUAAACUUCUUAUUGAUAAAUAUGUAAUGUGCCAUGCAAACGAGUAAAAACCGGUUUUCUUGUCCAAAUAAAUAAAUGGAAAACUUUUUUUGUUUUUUGAAUCGGAUGGCGAGCAUUAGUAAAAGAUUAAAUAAACCAUUGAGCAAAAAAUUAAGAUUUAUUUAGCGAAAGCGGCAAGCGCGCAAAGUGCUAAGUGCGUCUAAAAUAUCGCGUCAAAAUCGCGCAAUAUUCGCGCCACCCGCACGCGGGUUUGAGAGUCUAAUCUUUGGCCCAUUUAUCAAAAGUUACAACAGUAAGUAUGCUUUUAAACCACUAAAACUCUUGAUAAAUAAUCAAUGUGGGACUAUUUUUUUAACUAAUACGACCAUUAGUUGCUUAAUAUCCCACCCGUGGCUCAGCCUUUAUUACUAUAAUAAUAACAUAUAACGUGCUUUUUUCGAUAUUUUCCACCUCCCCACCCGCCCGCUCGAAUAUUUUCGCUUCCCCCCAAAAAGUUUCGUCCUCCCCAAAAUCGCCAACAAAUCCACCGCCGCUGGGUCCUCCUCCUUGCUCGUUGCCCCGAGAUCGACCUCCUCCCACACUCCUUCUCGUCCGUUGCCAGGAUUCCAUUAGGGUAUGAGCGAUUAGGGCGAACUCAGCAUUCCUCCUUCCUCUUCGACGCCCGCCGUCUGCUCCUCUUUUAUCGACGAAGACCAGAAUCUCCUCAACAAUGGCUGCCCCUCGGCCUCCAUCAGUCUCAAUGCUAAGGGUCAGGUAUGAUCUUUGAAAAUUUAUUUUUCCUAUUCGCUUGGUGAUUUCGACUCAAAUUUUGCAAUUUUGGAUUCAGAGAUUUUAGGUUUUAUUUGUACUACAUUGAAGAGAGAAGCUAUGGUUGUAUCCCUUCCACCAGUCCAUUAAGAAAAUAAUUAUUUUUUAAAAAAUAUUCCUGGUGCACAUCUUCAAAUUGGUAAUUUUGUUUUUUGUACAAUUUCUAUUGGUUCAUUACAACUUGGGAUCUUUGCUUAAAUUUCUAUCAUUUUUUU